AACGAACGCUGGCGGCAUGCCUAACACAUGCAAGUCGAACGAGACCUCCGGGUCUAGUGGCGCACGGGUGUGUAACGCGUGGGAACCUGCCCUUAGGUUCGGCAUAACUCCCCGACAGGGGUGCUAAUACCGGAUAAUGUCUUCGGACCAAAGAUUUAUCGCCGUUGGAUGGGCCCGCGUUGGAUUAGCUAGUUGGUAGGGUAAAAGCCUACCAAGGCGACGAUCCAUAGCUGGUCUGAGAGGAUGAUCAGCCACACUGGGACUGAGACACGGCCGGGACUCCUACGGGAGGCAGCAGUGGGGAAUAUUGGACAAUGGGCGAAGGCCUGAUCCAGCAAUGCCGCGUGAGUGAUGAAGGCCUUAGGGUUGUAAAGCUCUUUUACCCGGGAUGAUAAUGACAGUACCGGGAGAAUAAGCUCCGGCUAACUCCGUG
rnacentral:rRNA from 1 species